rnacentral:rRNA from 1 species
GACGGGGGGGGCAAGUGUUCUUCGGAAUGACUGGGCGUAAAGGGCACGUAGGCGGUGAAUCGGGUUGAAAGUGAAAGUCGCCAAAAAGUGGCGGAAUGCUCUCGAAACCAAUUCACUUGAGUGAGACAGAGGAGAGUGGAAUUUCGUGUGUAGGGGUGAAAUCCGUAAAUAUACGAAGGAACGCCAAAAGCGAAGGCAGCUCUCUGGGUCCCGACCGACGCUGGGAUGCGAAAGCAUGGGGAGCGAACAGG